GAACAAUUUACCACUUUAUGCAGAAAUAAAAAAAAACAAUGGAAUUCAAUUGUUAUUUUUCUAGAAAUAAAAUUAAAAAUCCUAAUUAUUAAAACAAUUUAAACAUCUUAAGUUCUGCUGCUCAUUUCUUCCAUUCCUUAUUUCUUCUCCCCAGAAACAUUCACUCCUUUACACAUUUACCUCUUCACUGAAAACUGUGACUCGGUGUUUAAUCUCAGCUCUCUGGUAUAAACAGGCUGUUUAAAGUGUGUUAGAGGUGAAUACAGUAGACGACACUUCACUGUAUCAGAUUAAUGACAGAAUCUUCUUGCUGUUCUUCCUCUGCAGGUUUGCUGUCCAUGAACCCUGUUUGUAGAUUUAAUCAGAGUGAUCCAUGUUAUGGAGCUGUGGGACGACCGCUGUACCUGCAGCUGCCAUCUGAGGAUGAAUUACACUUAAAAAAGAACAGCAAUGGAGCUCCUGCUGAGCGUAUUUUCAAAUUUAUAAACCAUAAAAUCACAUUAAAACAUCCAGAUUAUCCAAGAUGGCAGUUUGUUACUGAUAACAGAACCAUGAUAAUCAGCAGUGCAGAGAAAAGAGACUCAGGAAGAUACACUUUAUAUACAUAUGAUUCAGCAGCGAGAGAAAGAGGCGAUUAUCAUCUCCAGCUGGUUAUUGAAGCUGUGGUGUCCUCAGUGACUGUGACAGACAGCUGCUUAUCAAUUGAGAAGAGGAACGUUUACUGUUCGUCUGAUGGAGAUAAUGUGCAAUACAGCUGGACUUUCCAACAUACACACCAACUGGCUGAUGUGAACCAGACUCUUCUGCUGGACAAGGAAGUUCAUGGAAGUGUCACCUGCUAUGCUCAGAAUCAUGUUAGCCAUGGGAAAAAAACUAUUGAGAUACAGCAGUGUCCUGAUCCUACAACUGUGACCCCCAUUUCAACUCUGAAGCCUAAAGUGACACCAAGGACACAAUCAGGUAGUGGUACAAGUCUGGCAGUGACUGAUUGCUCCUCUAACCCUCAAGUGCCUCUCAGUUUUCAGAAUAAGAGAAUAGCUUGA
ensembl:lncRNA